GAGGAAAGCCACCCACUGAAGAGUAUUUGCCGUGGACCACUAUUCCCUCUGGCCUGGACCUGCCCCCUGGCUGCAGCUGCCACGUGAUGAUUGUUCUGCACUCCCUACCCGUUCAGCUACUGGAGCCUGUGGAAUAGCUGUGAAGCUUUC